rnacentral:rRNA from 1 species
AUACGUAGGGGACGAGCGUUGUCCGGAAUUACUGGGCGUAAAGGGCGCGCAGGCGGAUAUUUAAGUCAGCUGUAAAAGGCAUGAGCUCAACUCAUGUAUGCGGUUGAAACUGGGUAUCUAGAGUGCUGGAGAGGUAGGCGGAAUUCCCGGUGUAGCGGUGAAAUGCGUAGAUAUCGGGAAGAAUACCAGUGGCGAAGGCGGUUUGCUGGCUGCAUACUGACGCUGAAGCGCGAAAGCCAGGGGAGCAAACGGGAUUAGAUACCCCGGUAGUCCUGGCAGUAAACGAUGUAUGCUGGGUGUGAGACUAGCGAUAGUUUCGUGCCGAAGUUAACGCGAUAAGCAUACCGCCUGGGGAGUACGGUCGCAAGAUUGAAACUCAAAGGAAUUGGCGGGG